rnacentral:rRNA from 1 species
GACGUAGGAGGCGAGCGUUGUCCGGAUUCAUUGGGCGUAAAGAGCACGCAGGCGGUUUGGCAAGUCGGAUGUGAAAACCCGGAGCUCAACUCCGGACCUGCAUCCGAAACUGCCCGACUAGAGGUAGGUAGGGGAGAUCGGAAUUCCUGGUGUAGCGGUGAAAUGCGCAGAUAUCAGGAGGAACACCGGUGGCGAAGGCGGGUCUCUGGGCAGUAACUGACGCUGAGGAGCGAAAGCGUGGGGAGCGAACAGG